rnacentral:lncRNA from 1 species
CAGGAAGAUGGCUUUGAAACGCUUUCACAAUGAAGGUGUGCUCCACUGGGCACCACAACAUACGGUUCAGACAUUUAAAGCCUGUCUCAGCCCAAUUUCCUCUCCAUUUGCUCCCUGGGUAAGGUAUCCCCCCUUCAGUGCAGGCAGAACCUGCGACUUGCUUCUAAUCAACAAAAUAUGGCAAAGUGGUGGAGUCUAGAAGUCUGAGAUCAGGGCACCAGCAGGGCCGAGUUCUGAUGGCGUCUCGCUUUGUCACCCAGGCUGGAGUGCAGUGGCGCGAUCUCGGUUCACUGCAACAUCUACCUCCCAGGUUCAAGCAAUUCUCCUGCCUUAGCCUCCCAAGUAGCUGGGAUUACAGGCACCCACCACCACGCCCAGCUAAUUUUUUGUAUUUUUAGUAGAGACAGGGUUUCACCAUGUUGGCCAGGAUGGUCUUGAUUUCCUUACCUGGUGAUCUGCCCACCUUUGCCUCCCAAAGUGCUGGGAUUACAGGCGUGAGCCACUGUGCCUGGCCAACCACUGAUCUUUUUACUGUAUCCAUAGUGUUGCCUUUUCCAGAAUGUCAUAGAAUUUGAAUUAUACUACAUGCUGCCCUUUCAGAUGAGUUUCUUUCACUUACUAAUAUUCAUUUGUUUCCUCCAUGUCUUUUGGCUUGAUAAUUCAUUUCUUUUUAUCACUGAAUAAUAUUCCACUGUCUGAUGUACCACAGUUUAUUUACCCAUUUACCUACUGAAGGAUAUCAGGACAUCUUAGUUGCCUCUGAGUUUUUGGCAAUUAUGAAUAAAAACUGCUAUAGAAAGAUGUGUGCAGGUUUUUCUGUGGAUAUAGUUUUCAAUUCCUUUGGGUAACUCCAAGGAGUGUGGUUGCUGGAUCAUAUGGUAAGAGUAUGUGUAGUUUUGUAACAAAUAGCCAAAUGUUCUCCAAAGUGGCAUUAGCAUUUUGCUUUCCCACCAGCAAGGAAUAAGAGUUCCUGUUGCUCUAUAUCCUCACCAGCAUUUGGUGGUGUCAGUGUUCUGGAUUUUGGCCAUUGUAAUAAAUGUGGGGUGUUAUCUCACUGUUUUUUUAAUUUGCAUUUGCCUGAUGACAUACAAUGUGGAACAUCUUUUUAUUGAAGCUAAUGUUUUAAGCCUGGCAGUUUAGUCUCUUCUCUCUCUGCAACCCUAAGCCACUGAGCACAGCUUUCUCCAGAAGCACCUGUGAGUCACUAUACACCACUGCUAUCUCCUGAAUGCUGGAGGCACUGGAGUGGGCCCCUUCAACUUUCAUUUUCUUAUUACCCAGAGAACUUGGCAUUGGUAGAUGCUCAAAAAAUGUAUGUGAGAUGCCUGCACAUUAAAAGACUGGCUGAAAACUUAAGCAGUAUACUGGUUUAGAUCAUUCAUUGCUAUCGGCAAGAGUAAAAAGCUAUGUAGCAGGGUUCUGAAGUAAUAAGCAACAGGCAUGUUAUGUCAGUUUCCAGAUCAAGUGCUGCUCUCAAAAUUGCAAAUUGACUUCUGGCCAGAGCCCUCUUGGAAGUUUCUUCAUUUUGCAAGUGCAGCUCUUUCCCCUGCUUGACAGGGGAGUGUAUUGAGCACUCCCAGAUGGGUCUUUCCCAAGCAGGAACCAUUGGGGCCCAAAUGAAUCAAGUUGAAGGAGAGUGAGCAGAGUCAGCAGUGAGAGAAAGACUUAGCUGCAAGGUCAAAAUCCAUCUGAAAACAGACACGAUGGAAGACAGACAGUUCCUCCUGGAUCAUCGUAUAAAGAAAAGGGAUGGAUCAAGACAGGGAUUGCUGAUGCAUAUCUGCUCGCUGUUUGACUACAAAACACUGUCAUGAUUGAUUCUGUGUCUGCCACCCAAGUUCAUUCUCAAGGAAAUGCUGGCAAAACCCCGGCACUCAGCGUCACAGAGCUCAGUUUCCAGCCCUAGCACCACCCUUGAUAACUUGAGUGACCUUGGACUCCUGGUCUCUGCCUCAGUUUCCAAACUAAAUGAGUGUGGUGAAAAUUU